GGCGACCCCAGGUCAGGCGGGAUA
rnacentral:rRNA from 1 species